UGGGGAAUAUUGCACAAUGGGCGCAAGCCUGAUGCAGCAACGCCGCGUGAGGGAUGACGGCCUUCGGGUUGUAAACCUCUUUUAGUAGGGAAGAAGCGAAAGUGACGGUACCUGCAGAAAAAAGCACCGGCUAACUACGUGCCAGCAGCCGCGGUAAUACGUAGGGUGCGAGCGUUGUCCGGAAUUAUUGGGUGUAAAGAGCUCGUAGGCGGUCUGUCGCGUCUGCUGUGAAAAACCCGAGGCUCAACCUCGGGCCUGCAGUGGGUACGGGCAGACUAGAGUGCGGUAGGGGAGAAUGGAAUUCCUGGUGUAGCGGUGGAAUGCGCAGAUAUCAGGAGGAACACCGAUGGCGAAGGCAGUUCUCUGGGCCGUAACUGACGCUGAGGAGCGAAAAGCGUGGGGAGCGAAACAGGAUUAGAUACCCUGGUAGUCCACGCCGUAAAACGUUGGGCGCUAGAUGUGGGGGCACCAUUCCACGGGUUUCCGUGUCGCAGCUAACGCAUUAA
rnacentral:rRNA from 1 species